GACGAACGCUGGCGGCGCGCUUAACACAUGCAAGUCGAACGGAAAGGCCUGCUUUCCCUUGUGGAUUGCGGGUACUCGAGUGGCGAACGGGUGAGUAACACGUGAGUGAUCUGCCCCCAACUUGGGUAUAAGCCUGGGAAACUGGGUCUAAUUCCCGAUAGGACUGCAGGGUGGUGCCUGUGGUGGAAAACGAUUUUCUAGUGGUUGGGGAUGAGCUCGCGGCCUAUCAGCUUGUUGGUGGGGUAAUGGCCUACCAAGGCGGCGACGGGUAGCCAGCCUGAGAGGGUGGACGGCCACAUUGGGACUGAGAUACGGCCCAGACUCCUACGGGAGGCAGCAGUGGGGAAUAUUGCACAAUGGGCGGAAGCCUGAUGCAGCGACGCCGCGUGGGGGAUGACGGCCUUCGGGUUGUAAACUCCUUUCGACCGCGAGGAAGCCACCUGGUUGGAAGGGUGGUGACGGUAGUGGUAGAAGAAGCACCGGCUAACUACGUG
rnacentral:rRNA from 1 species